AGCGUGAGCAGCGCGGGCAGCAUGGCGGGCAGCGGAGGCCCCGGGCGGCGGAACCCGGCCUGCCCUCGGGCUCAUCCAGCAUGUAGGUGGCGGGAGAUGAAUGUCCAACUUGAGUAUCUGCGAUGUUUGAAAACACGUUGUUUUGGGUGCAGUACAUUUUGGAAUGUAAAAUGAAAACUUGGUCAAGAAACCGUGAACAGAAGCAAAUGAUGAAAAUGAGUUAAACAAGUUAUAUAGAAAUAAACAAUUCUAAGUGC